rnacentral:lncRNA from 10 species
GGCGUGGCUCCUCGCCCCAGGAGUUCCGGGGCAUUGAACCCUGAAGGUCUGCUCCGAGUCGGUCGGGUCCGAAGCGCUCCUCUCUGCCCUCGGGGAGGCCCCGAAGCCCCAGACCUGGCAGCCCUUCCUGGAGUUGCACAGACCCACCUGGCUCCUCCUCCCCGAGGUACAAGUCCUAAAGAAACCCUCAAACAUGUGCAUCAGGGGACAUGGACCAAUCCAAUCAAAGCUGUACAAUUUAUGAUAGCAUCACAUUAGAAGCAGCACAAAUGCCCAGCAGCAAUGGAAUGGAUAGAUUGCCGCAUAUCUAUAGAAUGGAAUACUAUACAACAGUGAAAAUAAAGCAGUUACGACAACGUGGAUGAAUCUCAGAAAGAUAAUUUUGAAUUUUCUGAAUGAAAAAAAUGCAAGGCACACAAUGCAUGGAAUAUGAUUCCAUUAAAUUAAAACCCAAAAGCAUGCAUCUAAAUGAUGUAAAGGAUACAAAUUAGAACCAGCCAGAGGAAGAGAAUGCGUAUGUGGAAGUCUGGCAGGAAUCCAAAUGCAGAGCUGCUGUCAUCCCCAUGCUGUGUUCCCCUCCCAUCAACAAAGGGGACGAUACUGAGAAGGAAACUCACCCAGCUCUUAUGUCCAGAAUUUUUAUUAGGGCUUCGUACAAUAGGCACAAUUGAUUGAAUUAUUGUCCACGUGGCUGAACCCAACUGCCAGUCUCCCUCCCCUGCCUGGAAGUCAGGGUGAAGUGACGUGGCCCAAAACCCCAGUCUUUUUUUUUUUUAACUUUUAACUAAAAAGUAAACUUGAAUGUCGAAAAUGCAAACUUGGGGAAGACAGAAAAGAUCACACGCAAGGCUGUCACUUCGCACUUGGAAGGUUGCACAGUGGCCGGGCAGAGGCGCUCCUCACUUCCCAGACGGGGUGGCGGCCGAGGAGAGACGCUCCUCACUUCCCAGACGAGAAAGCCCCAGUCUUCUAAUCACUUGGUCUUCUCUCGUGGCCAGCCCCACCUUGAAUCAUCUUGUUAACAUAAACUAUCUUGUAACGGCCUUGUUACUGAUAACUAUCAGGUGUGGUCCAAGGUGCUUGUCAUGAAUAACAAAAACAUUCCCACACCUGGAAAAAAAAAAAAUCUCAAAGAGUUGGCCAGGUGCAGUGGCUCAUGCCGGUAAUCCCAGCACUUUGGGAGGCCGAGGCGGGCAGAUCGCUUGAGUCCAAGAGUUUGAGACUAGCCCAGGUGACACAGCGAAACCCUGUCUGUACAAAAAAAUACCAACAUUAGCUGAG